rnacentral:rRNA from 1 species
CAUGUGGUUUAAUUCGAAGCAACGCGAAGAACCUUACCAGGCCUUGACAUGCAGAGAACUUUCCAGAGAUGGAUUGGUGCCUUCGGGAGCUCUGACACAGGUGUUUGCAUGGCUGUCGUCAGCUCGUGUCGUGAGAUGUUCGGUUAAGUCCGCUAACGAGCGCAACCCUCGUCGUAUGUUAUAUGUGUCAUACGAGACUGCCGGUAAAAAGCCGGAGGAAGGUGAGGAUGAUGUCAAGUCAGCAUGACCUUUAUAUCCAGGGCUACACACACGCUACAAUGGUCUGUACAAUGGGUAGCCAAGCCGCGAGGCGGAGCCAAUCCUGAAAGCAGGCCUCAGUUCAGAUUGCAGUCUGCGACUCGACUGCAUGAAGCCGGAGUUGCUAGUAGCCGCAGGUCAGCAAUACUGCGGUGAAUACGUUCCCGGGUCUU